AUUGAACGCUGGCGGCAGGCCUAACACAUGCAAGUCGAGCGGAGCGGCGGACGGGUGAGUAAUGCCUAGGAAUCUGCCUGGUAGUGGGGGAUAACGUCCGGAAAAGGGCGCUAAUACCGCAUCCUAUCAGAUGAGCCUACGUCGGAUUAGCGAGUUGGUGGGGUUAAGGCCUACCAAGGCAACGAUCCGUAACUGGUCUGAGAGGAUGAUCAGUCAUACUGGAACUGAGACACGGUCGAGACUCCGACGGGAGGCAGCAGUGGGGAAUAUUGGACAAGGGGCGAAAGCCUGAUCCAGCCAUGCCGCGUGUAUGAAGAAGGCCUUCGGGUUGUAAAGUACUUUCAGCGGGGAGGCGUUACCCGCAGAAGAAGCACCGGCUAACUCCGUGCCAGCAGCCGCGGUAAUUC
rnacentral:rRNA from 1 species